AGAGGAACGAAGGGGAAGCAGAUGGAGGAGAUCCACUCACGGGAUUCUGCGUUGUUGAUUUGUGUGUGGAAGUAUCGUGGGUUUUGCCUGCCUCCAUUGUUGCUCGUCUGCUGAAAUAAGUUGUACCCCAGCAGGCCCCUCUUCAGGUCCAACGGGUUCUCUGGACGUGAUUGGGGUAGAGAGCAACAGGGAGACAAAUUGCAUACAUCGCCCUGCUCGUUCAUUGGUCAAGAGGCUGUGACGUAGGCAACGGUGAGCGCUGAUUGGCCCCCGUCCGGUGUUGGGGAGGAGUCAGCCACAACUUGAUUCCACCAACAUGUCCGACCACUGGAGCCUCUUGCCUUGUUAUCAUUUCGUCUUCCUGUGCGGCUUUACGGGGCUGGGGGCCUUUGUGGGGCCUUUGUGGGGGCUUGUACCCACUUCAU